UACGGGGGGGGUAAGCGUUGUUCGGAAUUACUGGGCGUAAAGGGCUCGUGGGCGGCCAACUAAGUCAGACGUGAAAUCCCUCAGCUUAACUGGGGAACUGCGUCUGAUACUGGAUGGCUUGGAUUCGGGAGAGGAAUGCGGAAUUCCAGGUGUAGCGGUGAAAUGCGUAGAUAUCUGGAGGAACACCGGUGGCGAAGGCGGCAUUCUGGACCGACAUUGACGCUGAGGAGCGAAAGCCAGGGGAGCAAACGGG
rnacentral:rRNA from 1 species